rnacentral:rRNA from 4 species
CUGCAACUCGACUCCAUGAAGUCGGAAUCGCUAGUAAUCGUGGAUCAGAAUGCCACGGUGAAUACGUUCCCGGGCCUUGUACACACCGCCCGUCACACCAUGGGAGUGGGUUGCAAAAGAAGUAGGUAGCUUAACCUUCGGGAGGGCGCUUACCACUUUGUGAUUCAUGACUGGGGUGAAGUCGUAACAAGGUAACCGUAGGGGAACCUGCGGUUGGAUCACCUCCUUACCUUAAAGAAGC